GAACGAGAAAGUGGAGCAAUCCAUGAGUAAAGUGGCGACCGGGUGAGUAACACGUGACUAACCUACCUCCGAGUGGGGAAUAACUCCGGGAAACCGGGGCUAAUACCGCAUAACAUCGCGAGAUCAAAGCAGCAAUGCGCUUGGAGAGGGGGUCGCGGCUGAUUAGCUAGUUGGCGGGGUAACGGCCCACCAAGGCGAAGAUCGGUAUCCGGCCUGAGAGGGCGCACGGACACACUGGAACUGAAACACGGUCCAGACUCCUACGGGAGGCAGCAGUGGGGAAUUUUGCGCAAUGGGGGAAACCCUGACGCAGCAACGCCGCGUGGAGGAUGAAGCCCUUUGGGGCGUANACUCCUUUCGACUCGGACGAUAAUGACGGUACGAGUGGAAGAAGCACCGGCUAACUCUGUG
rnacentral:rRNA from 1 species